AUUGAACGCUGGCGGCAGGCUUAACACAUGCAAGUCGAGCGGAGAUGAGGUGCUUGCACCUUAUCUUAGCGGCGGACGGGUGAGUAAUGCUUAGGAAUCUGCCUAUUAGUGGGGGACAACAUUCCGAAAGGAAUGCUAAUACAGCAUACGCCCUACGGGGGAAAGCAGGGGAUCUUCGGACCUUGCGCUAAUAGAUGAGCCUAAGUCGGGUUAGCUAGUUGGUGGGGUAAAGGCCUACCAAGGCGACGAUCUGUAGCGGGUCUGAGAGGAUGAUCCGCCACACUGGGACUGAGACACGGCCCAGACUCCUACGGGAGGCAGCAGUGGGGAAUAUUGGACAAUGGGCGGAAGCCUGAUCCAGCCAUGCCGCGUGUGUGAAGAAGGCCUUUUGGUUGUAAAGCACUUUAAGCGAGGAGGAGGCUACCUGGAUUAAUACUCUAGGAUAGUGGACGUUACUCGCAGAAUAAGCACCGGCUAACUCUGUGCCAGCCGCCGCCGUAAGAC
rnacentral:rRNA from 1 species